CAGCAGUCGCCGCGGUAAUACGGAGGGUGCAAGCGUUAUCCGGAUUUAUUGGGUUUAAAGGGUCCGUAGGCGGAUCUGUAAGUCAGUGGUGAAAUCUCACAGCUUAACUGUGAAACUGCCAUUGAUACUGCAGGUCUUGAGUAAAUUUGAAGUGGCUGGAAUAAGUAGUGUAGCGGUGAAAUGCAUAGAUAUUACUUAGAACACCAAUUGCGAAGGCAGGUCACUAAGAUUUAACUGACGCUGAUGGACGAAAGCGUGGGGAGCGAACAGGAUUAGAUACCCCAGUAGUCCCUGUCUCUUAUAA
rnacentral:rRNA from 1 species